AGAGUUUGAUCCUGGCUCAGAACAAACGCUGGCGGCGUGGAUAAGACAUGCAAGUCGAACGGGAUAUUCUUGGUAGCAAUAUCAAGGAUGUCUAGUGGCGUAAGGGUGCGUAACACGUGGGGAAUCUGCCAAGAAGUGGGGGAUAGCUCGUCGAAAGGCGAAUUAAUACCGCAUGUGGUUAGUGAAGACAUCUUCACGAUACCAAAGCCGGGGCAACCUGGCGCUUCUUGAUGACCCCGCGGCCUAUCAGCUAGUUGGUGAGGUAAUGGCUCACCAAGGCUAUGACGGGUAGCUGGUCUGAGAGGACGACCAGCCACACUGGAACUGAGACACGGUCCAGACACCUACGGGUGGCAGCAGUCGAGAAUUUUUCUCAAUGGGGGAAACCCUGAAGGAGCGACGCCGCGUGGAGGAUGAAGGUCUUCGGAUUGUAAACUCCUGUCAUUUGGGAACAAUGUGCAUUUAUUAACUGUAGAUGCAUUGAUAGUACCAGAAGAGGAAGAGACGGCUAACUCUGUGCCAGCAGCCGCGGUAAUACAGAGGUCUCAAGCGUUGUUCGGAUUCAUUGGGCGUAAAGGGUGCGUAGGUGGCGGGGUAAGUCUGGUGUGAAAUCUCGGGGCUCAACCCCGAAACUGCACUGGAUACUGCCUUGCUCGAGUACUGGAGAGGAGAUUGGAAUUUACGGUGUAGCAGUGAAAUGCGUAGAUAUCGUAAGGAAGACCAGUGGCGAAGGCGAAUCUCUGGACAGUUACUGACACUGAGGCACGAAGGCCAGGGGAGCAAACGGGAUUAGAUACCCC
rnacentral:rRNA from 1 species